rnacentral:lncRNA from 1 species
AAGAAACUUCCCUGAAAUGGAAUCAUGUAGGUGGAUGAGGGGCUGAAGCUUCCGGCGAUGAGGAAUGGUGGUUGGGCGGUUCGCUGGUGGUCGGGGCAGGGGUGGACGGACGGAGCAGCGGCGGAAUGGAGGGGGUGGCGUUGGGGGAAACCAAAUUGAGGGAAUUUUGACUUUAGUCAAAAACCCUAGUUCUAGAAUUUGCACCUUGGCCCCCAACUUUUCAGAAACUGGAGGGCAACCCCCAAACCUGCGAAAUUGACCAAAACACACCCCAAGUUUUUUUUUUUUUUUU